rnacentral:rRNA from 1 species
UACGGAGGAUGCGAGCGUUAUCCGGAUUUAUUGGGUUUAAAGGGUGCGUAGGCGGUCUGUUAAGUCAGCGGUAAAAUUGCGGGGCUCAACCUCGCUCCGCCGUUGAAACUGGCGUUCUUGAGUGGGCGAAGGGUAGGCGGAAUGCGUGGUGUAGCGGUGAAAUGCAUAGAUAUCACGCAGAACUCCGAUCGCGAAGGCAGCCUACCGGCGCGCAACUGACGCUCAUGCACGAAAGCGUGGGUAUCGAACAGG